rnacentral:rRNA from 1 species
GACGAACGCUGGCGGCGUGCUUAACACAUGCAAGUCGAACGGAAAGGCCCUGCUUUUGUGGGGUGCUCGAGUGGCGAACGGGUGAGUAACACGUGAGUAACCUGCCCUUGACUUUGGGAUAACUUCAGGAAACUGGGGCUAAUACCGGAUAGGAGCUCCUGCUGCAUGGUGGGGGUUGGAAAGUUUCGGCGGUUGGGGAUGGACUCGCGGCUUAUCAGCUUGUUGGUGGGGUAGUGGCUUACCAAGGCUUUGACGGGUAGCCGGCCUGAGAGGGUGACCGGCCACAUUGGGACUGAGGUACGGCCCAGACUCCUACGGGAGGCAGCAGGGGGGAAUAUUGCACGAUGGGCGGAAGCCUGAUGCAGCAACGCCGCGUGCGGGAUGACGGCCUUCGGGUUGUAAACCGCUUUCGCCUGUGACGAAGCGUGAGUGACGGUAAUGGGUAAAGAAGCACCGGCUAACUACGUGC